AGAGCUUGAUCAUGGCUCAGAUUGAACGCUGGCGGCAGGCCUAACACAUGCAAGUCGAACGGUAACAGGAAACAGCUUGCUGUUUCGCUGACGAGUGGCGGACGGGUGAGUAAUGUCUGGGAAACUGCCUGAUGGAGGGGGAUAACUACUGGAAACGGUAGCUAAUACCGCAUAACGUCGCAAGACCAAAGAGGGGGACCUUCGGGCCUCUUGCCAUCAGAUGUGCCCAGAUGGGAUUAGCUAGUAGGUGGGGUAACGGCUCACCUAGGCGACGAUCCCUAGCUGGUCUGAGAGGAUGACCAGCCACACUGGAACUGAGACACGGUCCAGACUCCUACGGGGGGCAGCAGUGGGGAAUAUUGCACAAUGGGCGCAAGCCUGAUGCAGCCAUGCCGCGUGUAUGAAGAAGGCCUUCGGGUUGUAAAGUACUUUCAGCGGGGAGGAAGGGAGUAAAGUUAAUACCUUUGCUCAUUGACGUUACCCGCAGAAGAAGCACCGGCUAACUCCGUGCCAGCAGCCGCGGUAAUACGGAGGGUGCAAGCGUUAAUCGGAAUUACUGGGCGUAAAGCGCACGCAGGCGGUUUGUUAAGUCAGAUGUGAAAUCCCCGGGCUCAACCUGGGAACUGCAUCUGAUACUGGCAAGCUUGAGCCUCGUAGAGGGGGGUAGAAUUCCAGGUGUAGCGGUGAAAUGCGUAGAGAUCUGGAGGAAUACCGGUGGCGAAGGCGGCCCCCUGGACGAAGACUGACGCUCAGGUGCGAAAGCGUGGGGAGCAAACAGGAUUAGAUACCCUGGUAGUCCACGCCGUAAACGAUGUCGACUUGGAGGUUGUGCCCUUGAGGCGUGGCUUCCGGAGCUAACGCGUUAAGUCGACCGCCUGGGGAGUACGGCCGCAAGGUUAAAACUCAAAUGAAUUGACGGGGGCCCGCACAAGCGGUGGAGCAUGUGGUUUAAUUCGAUGCAACGCGAAGAACCUUACCUGGUCUUGACAUCCACGGAAGUUUUCAGAGAUGAGAAUGUGCCUUCGGGAACCGUGAGACAGGUGCUGCAUGGCUGUCGUCAGCUCGUGUUGUGAAAUGUUGGGUUAAGUCCCGCAACGAGCGCAACCCUUAUCCUUUGUUGCCAGCGGUCCGGCCGGGAACUCAAAGGAGACUGCCAGUGAUAAACUGGAGGAAGGUGGGGAUGACGUCAAGUCAUCAUGGCCCUUACGACCAGGGCUACACACGUGCUACAAUGGCGCAUACAAAGAGAAGCGACCUCGCGAGAGCAAGCGGACCUCAUAAAGUGCGUCGUAGUCCGGAUUGGAGUCUGCAACUCGACUCCAUGAAGUCGGAAUCGCUAGUAAUCGUGGAUCAGAAUGCCACGGUGAAUACGUUCCCGGGCCUUGUACACACCGCCCGUCACACCAUGGGAGUGGGUUGCAAAAGAAGUAGGUAGCUUAACCUUCGGGAGGGCGCUUACCACUUUGUGAUUCAUGACUGGGGUGAAGUCGUAACAAGGUAACCGUAGGGGAACCUGCGGUUG
rnacentral:rRNA from 1 species